rnacentral:rRNA from 1 species
UGGGGAAUAUUGGACAAUGGGGGCAACCCUGAUCCAGCAAUUCUGUGUGCACGAUGAAGGUCUUCGGAUUGUAAAGUGCUUUCAGCAGGGAAGAAAAAAAUGACGGUACUUGCAGAAGAAGCGACGGCUAAAUACGUGCCAGCAGCCGCGGUAAUACGUAUGUCGCGAGCGUUAUCCGGAAUUAUUGGGCAUAAAGGGCAUCUAGGCGGCCGGAUAAGUCUGGGGUGAAAACUUGCGGCUCAACCGCAAGCCUGCCCUGGAAACUAUGCGGCUAGAGUACUGGAGAGGUGGACGGAACUGCACGAGUAGAGGUGAAAUUCGUAGAUAUGUGCAGGAAUGCCGAUGAUGAAGAUAGUUCACUGGACGGUAACUGACGCUGAAGUGCGAAAGCUAGGGGAGCAAACAGGAUUAGAUACCCUGGUAGUCCUAGCUGUAAACGAUGAUUACUGGGUGUGGGCAUGAAGAGUGUCCGUGCCGAAGCUAAUGCGAUAAGUAAUCCGCCUGGGGAGUACGGCCGCAAGGCUG